UGAGGAAUAUUGGUCAAUGGGCGAGAGCCUGAACCAGCCAAGUCGCGUGAGGGAAGACGGUCCUACGGAUUGUAAACCUCUUUUGCCGGGGAGCAGAGGGGCCAUUGAUGGCAGGAUGAGCGUACCCGGAGAAAAAGCAUCGGCUAACUCCGUGCCAGCAGCCGCGGUAAUACGGAGGAUGCGAGCGUUAUCCGGAUUUAUUGGGUUUAAAGGGUGCGCAGGCGGACUCGUCAAGUCAGCGGUAAAAUUGUGUGGCUUAACCAUACCGAGCCGUUGAAACUGGUUGUCUUGAGUGCGAGUGAGGUAGGCGGAAUGUGUUGUGUAGCGGUGAAAUGCUUAGAUAUGACACAGAACACCGAUUGCGAAGGCAGCUUACCAAUACGUAACUGACGCUGAGGCACGAAAGCGUGGGUAUCGAACAGGAUUAGAUACCCUGGUAGU
rnacentral:rRNA from 1 species